rnacentral:rRNA from 1 species
GUCCACGCCGUAAACGAUGGGCACUAGACGCUGGUGGGAUCGACCCCUUCAGUGUCGAAGCUAACGCGAUAAGUGCCCCGCCUGGGGAGUACGGCCGCAAGGCUGAAACUCAAAGGAAUUGACGGGGGCCCGCACAAGCGGUGGAGCAUGUGGUUUAAUUCGAAGCAACGCGAAGAACCUUACCUGGGCUUGACAUGCACGUGAAAUCCUCGUGAAAGCGGGGACCCUCUUCGGAGCACGUGCACAGGUGCUGCAUGGCUGUCGU